UUGCUUUAUUGUGCUUUUAUCAAAAACAAAAACCAACAAUACAAUUGGAACUCGUACUAUUUAAUAUAUUACUUUAUAACCUUGUUUUAACAGUAGAAUGAAUUCUUUUGUCUUCCAGAUGCAUUUUUAGAUCAGUCCGACUUGAAAUAUGAAUGAAGUUGUGUUCAUAAUUGAAGCUUUGCUCAUAAUAGCGCUAUUGAUAGGGAUAGCUUUUCUAUUCAUGAAAAAUGCCUAGGCCACUGGUCGUCAUUCUGUUGCUUCCACUUUUGACUUUUCUGGACGGAAACACGAAUGGGAGAGAGAGAAAACACACAGCCAUUUUGAGGUUAUUUUCACAUGAAAUAUCCUUCGAGAAAAUAACGAAAACCGUGAUGAAUCAAGAUGCCGUUGAUCUUUUCCUCUGCUAUUAACAAUCGGUCAUUACAGUGCCGUCACUUAUCUGACAAUCCCCGUUGGUGUCCAUUGUGAAGAAUGACAGAUCUCAGGUGGUUCAGGAUUGCGUGAAAGAAUCUUUUAUUCAAACCUUCAAAAAAACACGGCCAAAUGGAGAAGAAUUUAACCAUAGUUCGGCAACGGACAAAGUUACAAAACAAAGGAAUACAACUGGUUUAAUCAUUAACGAACAAAAUCAGCUGGUGAUUAUGUGUUUAAAUAUAGUUGCUCAAUAAAUUAUUUUUUGUUAAAAAACUAAAAUUUUAAACGUCCGUACUCACCUCCAUGGGGGUCUCGCAGACCCCCCCCCCCCGGAUAGUACCAGUAUAGUAGAUAGUAUCCUAGGAUAGUACCAGGAAGAUUAGACAUCUUGGCAAGGCACGUACUUGUUAUAUCCCUUGGCAAGCGAUAUAAGUCUAUUACCUUCUCGUAGUACACCGGCAAUUCCAGCUGUUGGAGGGAACAGCCAGCAUUCUCGAGUAUCACCCUCGGCAGUCUGGGGACAGACCUCAGUCUUAUCCGUCUAGCCACCGAUGUUGGGCUCAGGGAAGUGCUAGGUUCAAUUCAGCACCCAACGUAUGCAGUUCCAAACCUAUUCGCACUCUUCAUUCUUAAAUACAUUCACUCCUAUUUA